rnacentral:rRNA from 1 species
GACGAACGCUGGCGGCGUGCUUAACACAUGCAAGUCGAACGGAAAGGCUCCAGCUUGCUGGAGUCCUCGAGUGGCGAACGGGUGAGUAACACGUGGGUAAUCUGCCCUGCACUCUGGGAUAAGCCUGGGAAACUGGGUCUAAUACUGGAUAUGACCUUUCUCCUUAUGGGGUUUGGUGGAAAGUUUUUCGGUGUAGGAUGAGCCCGCGGCCUAUCAGCUUGUUGGUGGGGUGAUGGCCUACCAAGGCGACGACGGGUAGCCGGCCUGAGAGGGUGAUCGGCCACAUUGGGACUGAGAUACGGCCCAGACUCCUACGGGAGGCAGCAGUGGGGAAUAUUGCACAAUGGGCGGAAGCCUGAUGCAGCGACGCCGCGUGAGGGAUGACGGCCUUCGGGUUGUAAACCUCUUUCGGCAGGGACGAAGCGUAAGUGACGGUACCUGCAGAAGAAGCACCGGCUAACUAUGUG